rnacentral:rRNA from 1 species
AUUGAACGCUGCCGGCAGGCCUAACACAUGCAAGUCGAACGAGUGGCGGACGGGUGCGUAAUGUCUGGGAAACUGCCCGAUGGAGGGGGAUAACUACUGGAAACGGUAGCUAAUACCGCAUACCAUCGGAUGUGCCCAGAUGGGAUUCGCUAGUAGGUGGGGUAACGGCGCACCUAGGCGACGAUCCCUAGCUGGUCUGAGAGGAUGACCAGCCACACUGGAACGGAGACACGGUCCAGACUCCUACGAGAGGCAGCAGUGGGGAAUAUGGCAGAAUGGGCGCAAGCCGGAGGCAGCCAUGCCGCGUGUAUGAAGAAGGACUUCGGGUUGUAAAGGACUUUCAGCGAGGAGGCGUUACUCGCAGAAGAAGCACAGGCUAACUCCGUGCCAGCAGCCGCGGUAAUAC